GAUGAACGCUGGCGGCGUGCCUAAUACAUGCAAGUCGAGCGAACAGACGAGGAGCUUGCUCCUCUGACGUUAGCGGCGGACGGGUGAGUAACACGUGGAUAACCUACCUAUAAGACUGGGAUAACUUCGGGAAACCGGAGCUAAUACGGGAUAAUAUAUUAAACCGCAUGGUUCAAUAGUGAAAGACGGUUUUGCUGUCACUUAUAGAUGGAUCCGCGCCGCAUUAGCUAGUUGGUAAGGUAACGGCUUACCAAGGCAACGAUGCGUAGCCGACCUGAGAGGGUGAUCGGCCACACUGGAACUGAGACACGGUCCAGACUCCUACGGGAGGCAGCAGUAGGGAAUCUUCCGCAAUGGGCGAAAGCCUGACGGAGCAACGCCGCGUGAGUGAUGAAGGUCUUCGGAUCGUAAAACUCUGUUAUUAGGGAAGAACAAAUGUGUAAGUAACUAUGCACGUCUUGACGGUACCUAAUCAGAAAGCCACGGCUAACUACGUG
rnacentral:rRNA from 1 species